rnacentral:rRNA from 1 species
AUGGCGCAGGCUCCAGUCCAUCGACCUCACCACAGAGCCCGACACCAUCCGCUGGAAGUGGACGGAUCACGGCGAGUACUCUGCUGCCUCCUGCUACAAUGCUCUUUUCACAGGUUCCACGGCGUCCGAGCACUGGCGCGUCGUGGGAUCUCCACCAUUGCGGUGCUUACGGCUUGGUCCAUUUGGCGCCAUCAUAAUGCUGUGAUCUUCGACAAGAUAGCUCCCUCCACCGCCGCUCUACUAGCGGCAAUUCAAGAAGAGGCACGCUCCUGGACCCGCGCCAGAGCCAAAGGGCUUAGCACUAUUAUUCCUGUAAUGUAA